GAGCAAUUCUGCAGUUCUUUCAAACCUACCCACUGAUUCCCCAGCUAUGGCACAGCCUGAAGGAGCUUUCUUGUGAAAACAUACACAAGCCUUGGGCUUGCUACUCACAGACCAAGUAGGAAAGCCUGGCUUUGCUGGGGAACUCUGCUGGGAAAUUAAUUGCUGGCCGGAUCCUUACUGAAAGCUGCUUGAAGAAAUCUCCUUGCCAUUUCCAGACUGGAGACCUUUUGUUUUCAUUCAGCGAAGUACCAGUUCUGUAAGAGACAGCUUUCUCCACUCAGCAUCUUUGUGACACCCAUCGAUCAAUGACAGGGAAUUGAAGCCCCCAGUUCCCAGCCACCCUGAAGCAGGUGCUCAACCCCCAUCACCUGAGCAGAGCUGAGUUUGGCCUCUUGAUGGGAGGAGAUGGGACUGAGAGCUCAACCAUGUCUUUAAAACCUGAAGACUGAGCCAAGCUGCUGAAUGUGCUUGCAAUUCACUUGGGUGAAAAGCAGGAUGGAACUGACACACCAGCUAAGGCCACAUCCAUUACGGGCAGUCAGAGCUUCAGCUGCCAGGCUGAUGGGAACUCAUUGCUGAGAUAAAGAUCUGUGCGUUGACCCGUGAGGCUGAAUUAUCAGCUAUAUGGAAAACCACUGACCUAACCAUCUUCCAGGAAAAGGCACCGCGUAUUGGAAAGCAUACAGAGAGGCUUGGGAUGAAAAUUGGGAAAGACAGACCAUUUCUCCCACUGGAAGCUCUGGGACCCGCUGCGGACUUGGGGCGGGUGUUUCCAAAGUGCUUUCGUGUGGAGGAGUUUUCUCCAGUGAAGUUUUCAUCGCAGCCCUGAGAAGGCCUUGAUUUACUGCCCUCAGAGCAUCCAGGAUACCAGCAUUGUGUUAGAUUUCAUGUCAACCUUUUGCAAAGGCAGGGCUUAAUGCAAGCUAGACCUGUGCCUGGUGGACUUUCCUUCUGCCUCGGUACCUCCCUGCUGAUCUGCUGCCUUUUCUGUUAUGGCAGUCCUAACAAGUCCGUACCAAAUCCAUGCGCAUAAUUUUGCAGGGUGUCAUCAUGCAUGCAGGGGGUGUAGAGAGCCAGACACGAGAAGUGAUGACCAUGAGCUAGCCUAUGGUUAGGUUUUGCCAAUACCUUUCCUUUUAUAUAUGGCAUCUGGGCAUUACCAGGGUCUUGGGCAGAUCCCGAGCCCAGGAAGGAUGCAGGUCAACCUAUUGCCUCUCUGCACUCCUCAGGGAAGCAGCGGAAAACCCCCUGCCCUGUUCUUGUGUUGGGGGGCAGAGGGUUCAAUGUUCUCUGCAGAAAUGCUGAAGCUUGCCUGGUGUCCUGGGAAGGCAGACAGUCACAUCCCAGAGCAUGUGGGUAAGAUGUGGGCAUAGAAACGGCACCAGUUCUUUGCAGGAAGAAAACAUUGCUGGAAAAGUAGCAGUGCAAAUUGGUCCCUCCCCAAAAAGGACAUUAACUGGGGGGCUGUAAGGAAAAGCUGUUACACACAACCCUAUUGUGUGUCCCAAUGUAUUUUGGCUGACAAAAUCUGAGAGCAACUCUGGAGCCUCUCACUGAGGUGUGUGGGAAGAUACUGUGCCCGGGGACAGGGAUUCUUCCCAAGUUGCUCUCCUCAUUUACAGACCAUGUUCCUGCUGUCCACGCUCCUUCCAUAGUCAGUGGAGAGUAAUCUGUAUGUCCAGAGGUCAUCCUUCAAAACAGCAGCCCCUUUUGGUUCUCGAGGAGGACUAACUACUCAGAUCUCUUCCCACGGCCUACAGCCAUUGCCUGGGGACAGCCAAAUUUUGAUGGCCAAAGUCAGGUAAAUGAUUCCCAGACAGUAUCAGGACUGAGUCCAGACACAGACAGGAUGGAGCACUCUCAAACUAGGUUAUGAACAAAUCCCUCUCACUUGGAGUUUUUUUUGGUGAAUUUGUUAUUACGCUAAGAACAUGUAAAAGCUGGGGAGGUGUUGAGCAUCUCCAGGCACAAGAGAUGUCUAAGGAUGUAACAAAGUGUGACUUGAAUUUCUUGCACCUUGCCAGUGAGCCGUGCUUAAUGGGUCAGGCAGCAGAGGUGUAAUGAAAUCAAUAGAGUUUGCUUAUUGUUUGGUUGGAGUGGAGAUCUUUGCAGAUCCAGAAGCACUGCUGUAUGUGUCGUGCCCCCCUCUUUCCCUCCAAGUUUUCUGUUCUAAUGAAAACUUUUUGGGUUUAACCCUUGGGAAGGCUGUGAUUUGAAGGGUAGCUGCAAGAGAGUCGAGGUCUACAAGGAUGUAAUGUGUUUGGCAUGGUUUGUGCUAGGAAAUGUCUGCGAGAGUAGAAAAUAGGAGCUGUGUACAAUACACCAGGGAAGGGGCUGAGGCCUGCAGACAGGGCUGCAGGCUCCGGCUCUAACCCCGGCUUGACAAUUGAUAGAGAAAAAUCUUGUGACUGCUGUCUUACAGCACUAACGAGGAACGCGCGUUCUCUUCUGAUCAAAAGUCUGAAACACAACGUGCUCUCCCUGCCCGGCCUCUGAUCUGCAAAUACAUCACUGGCUUUUAUCACUCAUUUUUUCUUUAUCUGAGCGGAGCUGGUCUCAAGCGCUACAACCUGAUUAUCUCUGAGGAGGUUGCCAAAUGCAUGUCAGGGAUCGUUAGACGUAAUAAUAAAGGAAGCAGAAGGAAUCAAGUGGCUUGAGUAGGAAAUCAGAGGGAAUUCCUGGCUGUGGUCUGGUGAACGCUGGGACCUGCCUGCAGCAUUGUGUGACAGAGGGGGUCACAGCUCAUGACUCGUAAGCCUUCUCAGAUCAGUGAUAUAUUAAAUGAAAAUGCCAACGUGUGUUCUCUGCCUCCCAAAACAAUACAUUUACAUACACGCAUAGCAGCUAGGAGAACAAGCAGUAUUAAAAGUAGAACUUAAAUCCCUCUUGGCCACCCCAAAAGUUUGUUAGCCUUUGCUGUUCAGCCCUUGGCUUUGGGUUUAUUGGCACUUCAGGGCAGGGCUAAGGAAAGAUUUGGUUUCCCUUCAGUUCACAGAAAAAUAAUUGAUGGCACUGCUAGGUUUUGGGAUGAAUUUGAAGAUAAGCAACAAUAUUUUCCAGCCAAGAACCUUCUAUUCAAUUUGAAACGAAUUUCAUUCUGCAUUCAAGCGAUCUUGAGAAUCAUUUUUCACAGAAAAUAGAAAGACAUUUUUAACUAAAAACUAGUCUGUAAUAAGAGGCUUUGCUUUAAAAUAAAACACAAUGUUUGGGUUUUCUAUGUU